rnacentral:tRNA from 1 species
AAAUAAGAAGCAAAUCAUGCAUUUAAUUUCGACUUAAAAGAAAGAGUUUUACUACUCCUUAUUUA